ensembl:lncRNA
GAGAAGCCGAGAAACUUUUGCUUACGUAUCGUGCCUCUCAGAGGGAAUGCUGUUACUAGGUGGUACUUGGAUUUUAUUGAUGUAGGAAGAGCAGCUGAAACAGACGGAGCCUUCGAGAGACACGGACCGACUGCUGAGCUACUGCUGUAAUGAAAUAAAGAUGUUCUGGAAUGAUGCCUGGCGCUCUGGCAAACCUCUCACAGGCUGUACUGGGCUGAACCACAGUCUCUCUAAAGCAUGUCGCUCCCUUCAGUGGCCAUCUCAGCUGUGCCGUUGUCAUUGCAGAGUUCUGUGUUUCCUGUGACAACCUAUCAGUGUACUCAAAUCUAUGAGCCUUGGAGAUGCACGGCCGCCUCCAGCCCUGCUCUCAAACAGCAUGACUCAACAAUCCUGAGCAUCUUCCCACCCCAUAAUCCUCUGCCCAAGAGAUGGCCACCACUUGAGACCAAAGCCAUGUUGCCGAAGGAAAAGCCUUGCUUGCGAUAAUGGAUACAUUUCACAGAGCUUUGGUUAAUGUGAUACUUUGCAAAAAAAUUUUAUAUGUGGACGCUAAUUUCAUGGGGCGGUGAAAAAAUUCAAUGAAAGAUUUCCACUGUAAGCAUUAACAUCUGAGACCUUCACCCGAGGCAGGUAAAUGGAUGACUCCUGCACAAGGUUUAUGAGCGUCUACUUGACCUUUUGACCCUCAAGGAUUUUGAUAGACGUGGAACUAAUCAGAGCCAAUUUCUUACAUAAGCCUGCGCCAAUUUGUCAGCAAGUCAUUUCUGUAUCGGCCCCACUGUUCCGGUUUCAGCAUUUUCUAAAAAUAUCCAUGUGUGAAGAGAAUGAACACGACGUCCUCGGGGAACAAAUUGAAUAGAAUCACAUAUGCAUGAAAAAUAAUGAGACAUGGGAUAUUUUUGUGAGUUAUUAAGUGGACUUGAGGGGAAAAUUGACUUUUUUUUUCCAGAGUAACAGAAAAGUUUGUUUUUGACAAGAGCGAGUGUCAAAUCUAAUUGAAAACCUGAUUUAUUAGCAUAAAGUCAAAGAUUUGCUUGGCUAA